UGCGCAAAACAAUCUUUACUGCUAUUCUUGCUACGAACGAAAAGUGUUGAGCUUUAAUUUUCAGUGAAAUUAUAUCUCGUGAAAAUUAUUAAAAUAUAUAAUUUCUUAAAUAAUUUAAAAUAAGUUAAAAUUAAAAAAAAGAAAUUUAAAAAUUAUUUAAAUAAAGAAAAAGGAUUUUCGAACCCAAAAUAAAAAAAUAUAAAAAGGGAAGUUGAACAGAACAGUGCAGCACAGUGAACUUGAAAAUAAGUAAAAAAGAUUAAAUGUGUUACAAAAAAAUGUGAAGAGAAUGAUGGUGUUGCAUUAGUGAAUUGCGAACUUUCGGACGAUGCUUUUACUAGGGCCUUUUCUCCAACGAAGUACAGUUGGGAUUUCAGCUUCAUCAUCCUUACGAGAUAUUUGGUUUUUAGAUAACAAAGUAGAAUAUGAGACGAAAGCAAGUGAAAUUAGGUUAUGGGCUAUAAGAAAUAAUGUCCCUCAAAAUACUUUAAAGGAUUUAUUAAAAACUUUGCGUAAAUAGGAGUUAAUUUUUAAAUACAAACAUUCAACGGUUAACAUUGAGACUAUGUCUAAUGGCGAAUUUCUUAUAAAGGUAUACAAAAAUAUUUUCUUUCAUUAUUUCUGUCUGGGAAUUGUUUUCUCUAGUAAUUUAAGUACUGAUGUAAGUAAAAUAUCAAUAGAAGAUAUAGAUUAAAAGUAUUUCUGCAUCCCUCAUGGCGAAAAGUUUCUCAUCAUUUCUCUUUUGCAUCAUCUUUUUUACGAUUGUUCGCAACAACCCGCACAUUCUGUUUAAACGAUAUAAAAAACAUAAAUUUAAUAAAAUUUAUAUCAAUACAAGCAAUAUGUUUGGCGACUCUAUAUUUGAGAGCCAAGAACAAAAUGGGAAGCGAAACAUAAAUAUGAGAUACUCGUAUACAAUCCAUAAACUUUCAUAUCUAUUUCAGAUUAUCAAUUAAUGAUACAAAAGAAAUAUAUAAAACAAAAGACUACGUAGCAAUAACAUCAACUCCUUUGAAAUGUAAGGAGAAUGUGCCACCUCCAGUACAACACAACGCAGCAAGUAGUAUUCAAUAAAAUGGGUUCGUUGGAAAAUGGACAAGUGACGAUAACUGCCAAUCAAGAACUUAUUACUGUCAACAGAUAAAUCGGAGGUACUAACACAAAGCUCCCUGAUAAGGGAAUGCAAGAUGCAUAUAAGAAAGAUUGAGCGAUCGGUAUGUCUCAUGACCGGAGAGGCAAGAGAUGACACUAUUGAUGAGGUAGCAAGCCUUUUACCAAUUAAAAUGGUUGAGGGAUGUCUGGAGGUGGAAGGAAAACUAAAGAGCAGGCUAUGGUAAAUACGGAGAGCCAUUGAACGGAGCCACCACCGAAUCCAACAAAAGAAAUACGACGAUAUAAGGAGACGAAAAAAAUUAAAAUAUAUUUUUAAGAAUUUAAUUUUAUUAAAAAAAUUUUAGUUUUGCAAUUUAGAUCGUAAAUAUGAAUUAUAUUAAUUCAAUUAAUCAUGUAAAUAUUAUUAUUAUAAGAAAUGAAUUAUAUUGUUCUUUCAGUUAAUUAUGUGAAAAUUCAUAUAUAAAAAAGGAAUUAUAAGAAUUCAAUUUAUAAUGUAAAUAUUUAAAUUUAAAAAAAUGAAUUAUAUUGAUUCAAGUAAUCAUGUAAAUAUUUAAAUUAUAAGAAAUUAAUUAUAUGGAUUUUUCAGUGAAUUAUGUAAAUAUUUAAAUAUAAAUUAAUAUAUUGAAAUUUUAUUUCUUUAUAAUAUAAUAAUAAUAGAUAGGAAGAAAUGUUAUUAAAUUCUAAUGAAACUUAUUUUAAGAAUUAUAUUAUUUUUAGUAAAUUUUUGGUAAAAAUC